GGACAGGGAGACAGGUGGUGCGAUGGUUGUCGUCAGCUCGUGUCGUGAGAUGUUGGGUUAAGUCCCGCAACGAGCGCAACCCUUAUCUUUAAUUGCCAGCAUUCAGUUGGGCACUUUAAAGAGACUGCCGGUGUUAAACCGGAGGAAGGUGGGGAUGACGUCAAGUCCUCAUGGCCUUUAUGCUUAGGGCUACACACGUGCUACAAUGGGUGGUACAAAGAGAAGCCAACUCGCGAGAGCGCGCCAAUCUCAAAAAGCCAUCCUCAGUUCGGAUUGGAGUCUGCAACUCGACUCCAUGAAGUUGGAAUCGCUAGUAAUCGCGGAUCAGCAUGCCGCGGUGAAUACGUUCCCGGGCCUU
rnacentral:rRNA from 1 species